GUCUAUGAGGCGAAAUGGUCAUAGACGAACUGGUGAUUAGACAAAGUGAUUAUUUGACCAAAUGGUCAUUGGCCCAAGUGGCUGUCAGACAAAAUGGCAUUAGACUAUGUAGGUAGACCAUGUGAUGAGUUAGCAUCAGAUGAAUUGGCAGUUAACAGUAUCAAACUUCAUAUCUCAGUGUACAUUUAUAAUGGAUUAGAUGAAUCAGUGAAAGUUGCUACACAGCCAGGAAUUGUGAUUAUUUUUUGACUCGCCGAUCCUCAAUGAUUCUUUAAUUUAAAUCGUUUUAUAUUCCCAUUCUGUUCAAUCUUUAGCAUAUCUAUCCCAAUGAGUACUGUGCAAUUGUUCUCUAUAUAUCUGACCAAGUGUUCCAUUCAAUAGGAUCUUCUAAUUAUUGUAUGCUAAGCACUAGAUGGUUAUUUCCCCAUUCUAUCUGGUAUAGCUCGAGCCACACUUCACACUCUGAAAUCAGUUCGUAUAUUGCAACUUGAAUAUGUUUUUUCACAAUUAUUUAUAUUUAUACAAUCCAGUUAUACAUCCAUUGUUGUCUUUGGCGAAAAAAAACCCUCCUUUAAUAAAUAUUACUAUCAUUAAUAUAUAAAUCAUUGAUUUGUGAAAUUUGUUUGAUAUAUAUUGUACUUGCGCUAGUUGGCUAUUGCCUCUGUUGUACCUCAACUUCCUAAAGCUCUAUAUUGUAUAAAGGCAUGUGUGUCACUCUAUUUUAUUCAUCAGAAAGAAGAUUGUUCAACUUCAGGGGCUGAUGUACACGUAUUUUCCUACUUCAAUGCGGUGUAAUAAACAAAUAACUCGCUUAGUGUGCUGGGUCAAAUUGGCACCUGAAUAGAUUCAAGAUUCAUCUUAUUUUGCCAAAAUCAUUCAGAG